GAGGGCGGGAAAGAGCACUUAGAGGCUGCCAUUUUGUGCCAGGCACCGUACUUGGUUCUCUACAAAUGUUACUUCAUUUCUUCUACACACAGUCCUGUGGAGGGAGAUAUUUUCCCUCCCUCCCUCCCUCCCUCCCUCCCUUCCUUCUUUCCUUCUUUCCUUCUUCCUUUUUUGCUCUUUCUUUCUUUUCUUCCUUUCUCUCUCCCUCCCUCCCUUCCUUCGUUCUUUUUUUUUUCCAGGGUCUAGCUCUGUCACUCAGGCUGGAGUGCAGUGGUAGAAUCUCGGCUCACGGCAGCCUCAACCUCCCAGGCUCAGGGAGCCACCCAGAUGAGCUCCAAGUGUGAUCUCUGUCAGUGGAAGUGUGCAAACAGGAGCUGGGGUACCAUAGCAGCUGAAGCACCAAGGAAGAACAAAAUACUGUUGCAGUUCAGAGGAGGGAGGUGGAAGGGGCCAAGGAAGCUUCUGCGGGCGGGCAAGAACUAGGUCUACUGGAUAGGAAGGAGGUUGAGAGACAGGGGUGAGGGCAAGGGCAAGGUCCCACAGUAACGCCUGAGCAAGAGAACAGGUGUGCAAGGGCCUGCAUGCUCAUGGCUAUGGCUGGAGCUGGGGUGGCAGGAACAGUGGGGUAGGGCCACGGGAGAUGAGAGGUGAACAGGGUGCAGGAACUCCCUCCUUCACGUCACCUUACUCCCCAAAUCCUGAGAUUAUCAGGCUUUUCAGGGAGAACAAGCUGCCCAGGGCAGGGCCUAACCUGAUUCAUCUUUGUGGCCCCAGAGCCCAGCCCAGGGAUUGCCAGUGGACACUGGCUGAGUAAAGCAAAGAACUUUUUAUAG
rnacentral:lncRNA from 10 species